GAUGAACGCUGGCGGCGUGCCUAAUACAUGCAAGUCGAGCGAACAGACGAGGAGCUUGCUCCUCUGACGUUAGCGGCGGACGGGUGAGUAACACGUGGAUAACCUACCUAUAAGACUGGGAUAACUUCGGGAAACCGGAUCUAAUACCGUAUAAUAUAUUGAACCGCAUGGUUCAAUAGUGAAAUACGGUUUUUCUGUCACGUAUAGAUGGAUCCGCGCCGCAUUAGCUAGUUGGUAAGGUAACGGCUUACCAAGGCAACGAUGCGUAGCCGACCUGAGAGGGUGAUCGGCCACACUGGAACUGAGACACGGUCCAGACUACUACGGGAGGCAGCAGUAGGGAAUCUUCCGCAAUGGGCGAAAGCUUGACGGAGCAACGCCGCGUGAGUGAUGAAGGUCUUCGGAUCGUAAAACUCUGUUAUUAGGGAAGAACAAAUGUGUAAGUAACUAUGCACGUCUUGACGGUACCUAAUCAGAAAGCCACGGCUAACUACGUG
rnacentral:rRNA from 1 species